rnacentral:lncRNA from 1 species
CGCAGGCCGCCGCCCGCUCUGGGCUUGGGGAGCUCGGCCCUGCGCCUUUCCGGACUCCUGGCAGGUGCAGCCCCAGGAGGCAAUGGGGCAGGCAAACUGGAUGGUGCCCCAGGUGUAGCAAGGUUGGAAGGCUUCAAAGGACCGGGUGGCCUGGACAAGUUUCCUCCUAGAAGUCACUUAAUCUGCAAAAUCAAGAUAAGACCAUUUUCCCCAUGUGACUUGACAAGACAAUAUUAAAGCUCAAGGUGAUGCAUGUAAAAAGAUUGUGGAAGCCAUAAAGCUUUAUAGAGAUACAUAA